GUCUUGCAUCAAAUGUAUGUAAAAAUCUAGCUUUUAUAUAUUAACUUGUGAUCAGAGCAACUGGGAUGUUGGUUGGAUAUUGUACAUAUCCAUUUGAUGUUUUUCACCAGAAGUUAGUUCUACCUUGGCAGUACCUCUGCUCUACAUACCUCCUCGCUGGUCAAAGAAUGGAAUAUAAAUCUCAUAUCAACAUGAGUAUGAAUCUGAUAUCAAUUGGAUGUACAAAGAUAGUUUACUACUUAAAGAACCUAUUAGUGAACCAACUGAUUAUAAAACAGUUUUUAAUGGGAAUAAAAACAAAUUUUCAAAAGAUUUCAAUUAGCUAUUUGUAUAUUCAAACACUUUAUUUACUGAGAGAAGAGACUAAAGAUUCAA
rnacentral:lncRNA from 1 species